rnacentral:rRNA from 1 species
GAAUACGUUCUCGAAUUUUGCACUCACUGCCCGUCAAUUCAAGGGAGCCGGUAAUACCUUAAGACCACGUUUUAUUAUGUGGGCCACGGUAGGAUCGGUGACAGGGAAUAAGUCGU